rnacentral:rRNA from 1 species
AACGAACGCUGGCGGCAUGCCUAACACAUGCAAGUCGAACGAGACCUUCGGGUCUAGUGGCGCACGGGUGCGUAACGCGUGGGAACCUGCCCUUAGGUUCGGAAUAACUCCCCGAAAGGGGUGCUAAUACCGGAUAAUGUCUUCGGACCAAAGAUUUAUCGCCUUUGGAUGGGCCCGCGUUGGAUUAGCUAGUUGGUAGGGUAAAAGCCUACCAAGGCGACGAUCCAUAGCUGGUCUGAGAGGAUGAUCAGCCACACUGGGACUGAGACACGGCCCAGACCCCUCCGGAGGCAGGCGGGGGGAAUAUUGGAAAAUGGGGCGAAGGCCUAAUCAGCAAUGCCGCGUGAGUGAUGAAGGCCUUAGGGUUGUAAAGCUCUUUUACCCGGGAUGAUAAUGACAGUACCGGGAGAAUAAGCUCCGGCUAACUCCGUG